rnacentral:rRNA from 1 species
AGGACGAACGCUAGCGGCGUGCCUAAGGUAUGCAAGUCGAGCGGACCAGGCUUCGGUCUGGUUAGCGGCAAACGGUUGAGUAACACGUAGACAACCUGACCGGAAGUCGGGGAUAACUCGGGGAAACUCGGGCUAAUACCGGAUGUGGAGGGAAGUCGCAUGACUUCUUAUCUAAAGGAGCAAAUUCGCUUCCGGAUGGGUCUGCG